GAUGAACGCUGGCGGCGUGCCUAAUACAUGCAAGUCGAGCGAACAGACGAGGAGCUUGCUCCUUCGACGUUAGCGGCGGACGUGUGAGUAACACGUAGGUAACCUCCCUAUAAGACUGGGAUAACUUCGGGAAACCGGAUCUUAUACCGGAUAAUCUUUCGAACCGCAUGGUUCUAUAGUGAAAGAUGGCUUUGCUAUCACUUAUCGAUGUACCUGCUCCGUAUUAGCUAGUUGGUAAGGUAACGGCUUACCAAGGCAGCGAUGGGUAGCCGACGUGAGAGGGUGAACGGCGACACUGGGAGUGAGACGCGGUACAGACUCCUAGGGGAGGCAGAGGUAGGGAAGGUGGGGAAAAGGGGGGAAGACUGAAGGAGGAACGCAGGGUGGGUGAUGAAGGGCUGCGGAUCGUAAAACGCUGUUAGGGGGGAAGAACAAAUGUGUAAGGAACGGUGCACGUCGUGACGGUACCUAAACAGAAAGCAACGGCUAACUACGUG
rnacentral:rRNA from 1 species